GGUGGAGAUUCUGGAAGGGUGGCGUGCUCCCAGAGAGCGUGGAAGCUCCACCCUUCCCCACCCCGCCCCCCCACCCACACACCUUGCCCUGUGCUUGUCCUCUACCUGACUGUUCCUGCGUUACACCCUUUUAACAUAAACCAGGGAUCUAGCAAAUUAAUUCAACUCAAGGAGGAGGUCAUUGGAACGUGUUAUUUGUAGCCAGGCAUUCUGAGCCACAGCUGUUGCCGUGUUUAUAAGUGGUGUCCCUGGCUCUGUCUGCUGCUAAUGGUGAGGAAACUGAGACCCUGAAAUGCGGGAUCCAAGAGCUACGCAGCAGAACCACAGCCGAGGCAGAGCUGGUGAGUGAUGAUCAGCUACCUUCUCUCUGCGCCUUCCUACCUGGACCCCUUCCUGGACCUCCUGGGUUGGUUCACACUUCUUCUUCUGAUCUUACCAUGGCAGAAGUUACUCCUCUCUUAAGGCAGAGCUUGAGUUACGUGCAGCACUGAGGUGAAAGCCCUUCGUUCAUCAAUAUCAAAGCAGGGACCAAAGUCAAGUGCCGUGAAUUCUUUCUCAUCUAAGUUCGGAGGCAGCAUCUUUUUUUGCCUGUGUCAAAAGAAGUGACUAGCAUCACAUUCCACGGCCAUUGUUUGUUGACCUGUUGAUCUCCCCCCUCCCCAUCCCAUCCCUGCCAUGGGGUGGCUGGAGGUUCCUGGAGAAACAGUGAGCAGUCAUGGAGCGAGUUCAGACUCCAAAGUCACAGCCCAGCUCUGGGGCCUCGGCUGUGCUCUCUCCUUCAGUAAACACUGACUGCCAGGUGCCAUGCUGUGUUUGGGCGUGCAGGUGUCAUGACAAUAAGACAAGCAUGGUUGCUGUCCUUAUGGAGCCUGCGAAGCUACAUCUAGAAAAUGGGCAUUGGAUGAAUGAAGAAAAGCACAGCUAAUAUUGAUGAGUGCUUACCAUAUUCUGGACACUGUGCCAAAUACUUUUCGUGUGUGUAUUUGAAGAUGGGCCAGCAGGUGGCAGAGCUAGAGAUUCAAACCAUAUUCACAUCUGUCUGACUCUAAAGCCCAAAGCGAUGAAUGAGGAGUAGAUAGAAAAUACCACCAAGGUCUGGCACUUAGUAGGCAGCAUGGCUGAGUGUGGUGAGUCUAGAUUGUAAUCAAAAUAGGGCUUGUGUCCUGCCUCCGCCCCCUCUAUGAUGAUGGACCAUAGGGGUCAGGCCACAUUAAGCUCCGGCGGGGUGGGAGGCAGGGCCAGGGUCAAGUCAGGCAGCUUCACUGCUUUAUCUUUAGCUUCUGGCACAAAAAAGGUAG